AUCACCUCUCUUAUAGUCUGAGAGCCAGCCUAAAAGAUCUUCCACUUCUGUGAGUCACAAAUUAUUUCCCAGCCCAGCCAUGUGUUCCCACUCUCAAACCAAUUUUUCAGCAAUCAGGUGCGGGUGGCACGGGUCAGCCUCUUGGUUCCAUUGGUCAGCCCUGCCCAGCCCAGAGCUGUGGCCAGGCUGAUUUGCUCGGAGUGCAGAGAUCUGCCUCAGAUGGCAUCUUGUAGAAGAGGAUUGGACAGACAAGAGAAGACUCCAGUGUGGGAUUGGAAAGAAAUCUUUUCCACCUCUGGAGAAGUUUUCCAGCGGGAAGAAUAGUGCCAUCAUUUUCCUCUGUACUGAAUACCAGAUUUGGCUAAGCACUGUGCAAAACCAGCCCCCCAGGGCUGCCAGGCUGGUGCAAAAACAGAUCUUUCUCAACUUUGGGAUAACUCAUUCACAUUCCUGGUUUUCACAAUCAUUGCAAAACAGACCUCAGGAUUCUAGCAGCCAAGAUGCCGGGUAUAAUGAGCCUGGUCAGAGCUGCCUGGAAUUGCUAAUGACUGCGGGUUUUUGUUUUUAAACCUAUGCCCUGGUUAGGGAAGGGAAACUCGUUGUGCAGGGUGCAGCAACCCAAGCACAAAACGUGAUAAGAGGAAGAGUUAUGACUGCAGCCACCGCAGCGCGACUCCACUUUGGGGCUCUGCCAGAGUUCCCAUAAAACCCGCCUUUUUCUGGAGUCUACACCAUGUGCUCUUAUGUCAUCAAUUUAAGAGGCUUUUAUGAGAUGCCAGAGCAUGUUACUUAAAGCAUUCUCAUUUAUUUUGCCCUUAUGCUUUUAUUACAUAGAAUUUGAAUUAAAUCCAUUUGGCAAUGUUUUGCAGUGGAGGGAGGCAGGGGUCUGUCAGGAGGAGGAAAGGAAUUUGUUAGUGAGGGGAAAGCUCCUUUAGACCCCAGGGAGGGAACAGAAGUAAAGGUGCCCCGGGGUGGGAAGCGCGCCCUCCCCACAACGCGGUGAGAUGUGGAAAGUUCCUCACGCUUCACUAGGGCUUCCCUCCCUCCUGCAAUCUGUGGUAGCUUUUCUAAAGGCUACUUCUGCCCUCCAUUGUUCUGUUCAAAACCCUCCAGCAACAUCACAUUGCUCUCAGAAUAAAACUCAGAUUCCACAUUUGAUAUUUUUCAUCACCUAAGAUCUGGCCUCAGUCUGCAUCUACACUUUAGAUUCUUUCCUUUUCUUCUCACUCUCCAGCUAAACACCAACUGCUACCUGUCGGUCAAGGGGGCAAGGGCCAGACAAAAUAGCACCUUGGCCUCAACAUUUCACAUUAUCCUUCCAGAAGGAAGUGGUUGGUUUCUUCUCUGAAUGCCUAUGACGUUUUAUUGGUACAUCUUGAUGACAAUGAUCACUUUUUAUCUUGAUUUCUACAGUGCAUGCUUUUUUUCAAAAUUUUAAGUCUAGAACAACAGCUUCAUGAAUGUUCUAUCUUUGGAUCACUCUCAGCACGUAGCACAAUGAGUUGAACGUCAACCCCAUCCAAUGAAUACCUGUUGAAUGGUUAUGUAUAUGCUGACCCCAGGAGGAAAUUUCCGAAUUAAGAAGCAUUUGUCACUUACCUAUGAGUAGGUCUUAAGUGUUUCUUUUAGAGGCUCCUCCCAGAAUCAUAUACCUCCCCCACCACCUAAGAAAGCAGGCCUGGUAAUCACACAAAUCAGCCCCGUGGUUCCAUCGGUCAGCCCCACUCCAAGCUAGAGCCACGGCCAGGCUGAUUCGCUCUGAUGUCAGAGAUCUGCAAUCAGACGGCAUCUUGUAGAAGAUUACUAAAUACCAGGAUUGGGUUCAGCUGGUCACAAUAAAGAGGCUCCUACUCAGCCAACACUAUUAAAACAGAGUCCAUCCUGAGAUCUUCAUGGAGCUAUAAUCAGGCCAAGCCCCUCGGGGACACCCCUGGAUCUGGGGACCUUCAUUCUGGCCCUUCACCUUGGUCAGACAUGGCCACACACCUCUCAUCUGCUUCUUUAUGUUGGGCCAUGGGCAGGCCCUUCCAUCCAGGCAAGUUCUCCCCAUGUCCAACUCGACUGCAGGACCAUUCAGCUGGGGAUCUUGCAACUAGCAGAUGGGGAAACUGAGGCACAGCAAAAUUAAUCAAUUUGCCCAACAUCAAAAUUGGGUAAGCAGAAGAGACAACAUCCCAACCUGAGUCCUGAACCAGUAGAACCCCAUCUCAGCACACUGAGUUGCAACGAAAAGAACAGGGAUAGAUGGGAGCGUAUCCUAUGGGACCUGCAUUUAAUCAAUGGGCCCCCUGUCUUUUUGUUUUGUUUCUUUUUCCCAUCAAGCAGACCCGGCGCCUCCUGCUCCUGACGCUGGCCCACCCUCCCUCCCAGGCAGGCACCCCUCCUGCAUGACAGGGGGUUCCGGUUCUUACCCUCCAUCAUCCCUCCCCCACACAGAAAAAAAUGACAGGGAAAGAAAAAUAUGUUUUGUGGCCUUGAAGAUUUCGUUUUAGGAGCCAAUCCUACUUCGGCACCAAGUCAGCAGAAAUUUCUGAUGAUGAUGGGGUGCUUACUUUGUCAGUUAAUUUUUAAUUUAACAUUUUUUAUUUACUUUUUUGGGGAAAAUUCUAGUCUCCUUCACCAUCCUGUCGAUAGAUGUCUUGAGAUCUCUUUCAUGUCCCUCUUAUUAUUUUCCCUUUUAUGCUUUUUAAAAAACAUUUUUUCACCUUGUCAUUCCCUGGGGCUUGUGUUGUCCUACAGCCUCAAUGAUCACUGCUGCCCAACUACAGUUUCCACCUGAGCUCCAGCCCUCAGCCGACACCUGCCGUGGGGUUUCUCGUCUCCUCACAGCCGGGUGGGCAGGCAGCACCUCCUUUCCCUUCUCUUUUUCCAGCUCUGCUGAUGGAGGAAGACCAAAGUGGGGAGCCAGAACCUUGGAAGUCGGGUCACAGUCCUGUGUGCAGAGCCGCAGCUUGGCUGAGAGGCGUUCAAUGUUUGUGUCUUUUAGACAGCUGAGAGUUUUUUAAACAAAAAUUUGAACAGUAAUUUCCAUCCCUGAUAAAGAAUUAAAUUGUAUCAAAUGCGCAUUGUUUGCAUUCUUCUGAUAAAAAGAUCCAUAGGGGUUUUGCCCUGUGCUUUUGAAGUUGAGGCUAAUUCCAUUUCAUACGUAAUCUCCUCAAAGAGAGGAAGCCUCAGCCAAUGAAAUUGGGGGACUUCCCCUGCCUCCACUCCUGCCUGGAAAGCACGUGGACUCAGCAGCCCAUGGCAGUGAGUGUGCUUUGCACUUUUCCUGUAGUGAGGGAGGAGAAGCAGAGGCCUCCCACCCCAGACCUUUGACUAAUUCGUUAUCCAACAGAUGGGGAACACCCGCUCUGUGCCAGGCGGUAUGCUGGGCACAGGGGCUAGAAAAGAGAUGCUAUUAUGGUUCUAGGAAAGAAAAAUCAUACUCCUGUUCCAUCCACUGAGUUCAAAACCAAUAGAGAGAUACAUUCAAGAGUCUGACAGAUGGAGAUUAAAAUAUCAGCCUUGUUAUUGGUAAAAGCUGGAUUGGAGACAGGGCUUACAUACGCAGCCUCCUAUUGUUUCCCACACUCACCCAACCCAUUACUGCAGAGCUGAACGACCGCAGCCUCCCCCACAGGGCAAAGCAUGCCCAGGAAGCUCACUGCCAGGCUGAGAGCUGAUAACCCAGCUCCUCCACAGGAGUGACACCUGAAAAAGAAAGGAAGGACGGAGACCAACGUACCAGCACCAGGCUCUCUCCAAGCUCACCAAUUCAACUCACCAUUUACUCCUCUGCAAGGAAGGAAUGAGUGAGGAUGAAAGGAGGGCCAGGAAUGUCGUUCUGGCUGAAGCCCUUCCACCUGGAAGCAUGACGCCAGGAAACUGGAGAUGCCCCCCACAAAUGUGCUCCUCCCCUCGUAGAGAAGAUGGCCCAGUGGGGAGACUGGAAAAGAAUUAUCAAAUGAUACGAUAAUUGCUUUACAGAGCGGGUGGUCCCUGGGCCAAGGCCAGAAGGAUGAGCAGCCCUUGCCAGCUGGACAAGUUGCAGAAGGACCAGAAUGUGCCAAGGCUCAGAGCCUGAUAUAAAGAGGGUGGGUACAAGACAAGGGUGGAUGUGCAGGAAGUGACAAAGGUAGACUUUGUCCUCUGGCUCUCGAAGGAGCAGCUCCCUCUACCACCAUCUGUUUACUGUCAAGGAAUAAGGGAUUGAGCACAGGACUCAGCAGGCAGAGGCUCCCAGGGCAAAGACUGGCUUCCUUGGCGCCUGGUUCACAUGGGCGCUCAGCACAUAUUCGUUCUUUGAACACACACCCAUCCCUCUGGCUGCUGUCCACCCCGCGUGGAGCAGGCCACUUUUCCUUCGUGCCUGUUUCUUUUAACUGCAGUCACCUUCUCACUUCCCUGAGCCUCUGUUGUGAACAUUCCCGGAGUGAUGUUUGCACAAGCCUGAUGUUCUCAGAAGCAUGGCUCUCUGUAAAUACAGAGUUUUAUUAUUAGAAGACGAUGAAUUUUUAAAAUGUCAAUUCUGGCCUUUUCAUCAUGACGGAGUGGAACUCAGGUCUGCCUACACUUUGCUCCUUCAUCAGAAACCUUGCGGGUCUCAGCUCGGUGCUGAGGACAUGACUUUGGGCAGCGGUCAAGGUCACAGCCACUCAGAGGAGCCAGGGAGAUCCUGUGAAUGAUGGAGACUGCCCAGCCCAAGCAUGGCCACCCAACUCUUGGGAAUGUUCAGGAAUUCGGGUCCAGCGUGGCUUGUCAAGAGAAGGCAGAAAUCUGUAUUUUAUGUAAAAUCUCCUGAAUUUUAAACAUUUGCCUCAAAAUCCAAAAUUAAAAAAGAAUGGUAUGAAGGCCUAACAUGACACAGCUGUGGGUUGAAUGUGCUCCCCUCCCGCCGCCCAGUGCCAGCUGGCUUCUAAUCGGUGGCAGCUCUGCCCUGGUGACAGGUUUCCAUAGCUGGCCCCUAUUGCUGAAAGGUGGGCUCAGGUCUCGAGGAAGUGACCUGGGUCACCCAGGGGAGGGCAAUGUCUGUGCCGUGCAUAAUAUUUUAAACUAUGGUUCUUAACAUUUUCAGCUUUACACUAAUUUUUCCUUUAAUGUUUCCAGUCGGAGGGCUUGCCCUGGUUGAGGUUGAUGUCCUCUGCACUGAUUCUCACCCAGAUGGGGAGGCUGUGGGAUGAGGCACACAGAGCAGAGCCUGUGCUGUCACACAGGUCUUGGUUCAAAUCCUGGUUCUACCCUUUAUAGGCUGUGUGAUUUGGGAAAGUUGCUUAACCUUUCUGGACCUCUUCUGCAAAAGAGGGACGGUCAUAAUCCCUAUUUCAAAGGACACCUGCGAGAGAGACUGCAGGGAAAGCAUCGAGGACCCUCUCUGGCAGAGUGAAACCCCAGAUACAGGGUUCCCUUCCCUCAUUGCCUCCACUCCCAACGUAGAGUCCCAGGGGAUGUGGAAAGCCAGGUGGGCACUUCCGGGGAGAGAAAAAUAAGGAGACCAGAAUCAGCUAGCAUUUUGGAUGCAUCCUUAAUUCUCAGCAAGUUGUUGAUCUAACUGGGAAACAACUUGCCACGUGCUUAACUGGCCUCCUUUAGUAAUGGGAUCAAAUAUGCUUUCAGGACGAAGUCUGGGGCAUGGAGUCCUCUUCAGCUCUCGGCGGUUGCCCUCGGGCCCUGCAUGGGUAUAGAGUGAUUCAUUCUCUCGGGUGGAGAUCAUCUCCCUGCCUCCUCCUGGGCUGGCACCAGAGAUGGUGGUGUGACUCCCUCCCAUGGUUUAUCAUUCCAUCUCAUUUCUCAGUUAUCUGUGGAUGGGUCUCUCCCCCAUGAGAUUGGAAGCCAGUGGCGGGGAGGGUUGGACGGCGGGCAGAGUCUCUGUCACAUUCAUCCUCGCGUCUCCUUCUUCCUCCAUCAACCUGGUGGCUGCCAAGUAGUACUAAAAAAAAACCCAAACAAAACAAAACAAAACAAACUCUGCUAAUUAAGGACUAGGCCAAGAAGCAUUCCGAUUGCAGUGCCUACAUUCUCUGCUAAUCCCAUUGUAGCUUUGGUCUAUUGAUAGUUUUCAUAUCCUUUUCCACUUUACAGCUUUCAAUGGUAUCAACUAACGCUCCACCACAGAAUUGUCAUCUGUCUCCCUCAUUACGUUAGAGAGUCUUUGGGUGACCGUACGACUUUGAACAUGAAACUUAGGAAGUGAGGGACUGUGAGGAAUAGGAAGUGGGUCUUUAAAAACAAUUUUUUUAUUAAGGCGAAAUUCACAUAACAUAAAAUUAACCAUUUUAAGUGUAUGAUUCAGUGGUAUUUAAUACGUUGACAUUGUUGCACAAUCACUACCUGUAUCUAGUUCCAAAACAUUUUUAUGAAAAUCCUGUACCCAUGAUGCAGUCACUCCCUAUAUAACCAUCCACUCCAGCCCUUGGCAACCACUGAUCUGUGCUUUCUGUCUAUAGAUUUACCCAUUCUGGAUAUUUCAUAUAAAUGGAAUCAUAAUAUGUGGACUUUUGUGU
rnacentral:lncRNA from 1 species